GAUAUCAAAGACAAAUGGCACAUAUUUGUGUCAUCUCUGUGAUCUCAUUUGUUCAUGCUUCAGAUGCUAGCGUGUACAUGUUGCAUUGUUCAUGCUUAAAACAUGAAAUCUUAGUUCAUCGCUAAUAGUGUCACAAGUGUUCACCGUUAUCAAGCGUCUCUUGCGACAUGUGGUCCUCAAUGGCUUGACCUCACUAUCUGAGAAGAGGCAUCCAAUGAUGGCGUAUAGUCACAUGGAUGUGGCGCUGUGGAUAUUCUGUUCUCCAUGCAGUUAUGCUUCGCUUCUUCAGUCCACUGCAAUUUGAUAUGACACCUAAUGGUGUAUUCUUUUUACUUUCUAUAUUAUGUUUCUUGUUUUCCCUCAAUCCUCUGUUUGUGAGGUGUGUGUGAUUCAGGGGACUCAUUUGUUAAACUAUUCGUUAUUGAAUACAAUCAGUGUUAAAAAAAAAAAAAAAAAAAAAUAUUCCUUAGAAAUUUUACCAUUCAUAAGGAAUAGUUUUCCCUUUCCAUUCCCUUUCAUUCCUUUUAUUGUAGAGAAAUAAUGAAUUAAUUUGUUCCUCGCUAAAUAUGAUAAGGAACCAUUAUUCCUCAUCAUUCCUAUAAUUUCAUUCUUUUUCGUUCCUUUUCUAUCCAUUCUCAGUGUUCUUGUAAUGGUUACCUGUUAGACCCGUUGUAUAUUAUAGUACAAAAUAGUUGAGAGAUCAGGAAUAUACUCUCGUAUCUACGUAAAUAUAAGUGAAUAAUAUCUUAACCAUACGCAAAUAGUUAUCUACAAG
rnacentral:lncRNA from 1 species